rnacentral:rRNA from 1 species
GACGACGCUGGCGGCGUGCCUAAUACAUGCAAGUAGGACGAGUUGCGAACGGGUGAGUAACGCGUGGUAACCUGCCUAUUAAAGGGGGAUAACUAUUGGAAACGAUCGCUAAUACCGCAUACCAUCGGCUGUGCCCAGAUGGGAUUAGCUAGUAGGUGGGGUAAAGGAUCACCUAGGCUUCGACCCCUAGCUGGUCUGAGAGGAUGACCAGCCACACUGGAACUGAGACACAGUCCAGACUCCUACGGGAGGCAGAAAUGGGGAAUAGUGCGCAAUGGGCGCAAGCCUGACGCAGCCAUGCCGCGUGUAUGAAGAAGGCCUUGGGGUUGUAAAGUACUUUCAGCGGUGAGGCGUUACCCGCAGAAGAAGCACCGGCUAACUCCGUGCCAGCAGCCGCGGUAAUUC